rnacentral:ncRNA from 1 species
GGCCAAGUUUUUAAGGGCGCACGGUGGAUGCCUUGGCACCAGGAACCGAUGAAGGACGUGGGAGGCCACGAUAGUCCCCGGGGAGCCGUCAACCAGGCUUUGAUCCGGGGGUUUCCGAAUGGGGAAACCCGGCAGUCGUCAUGGGCUGUCACCCGCUGCUGAACACAUAGGCAGUGUGGAGGGAACGAGGGGAAGUGAAACAUCUCAGUACCCUCAGGAAGAGAAAACAACCGUGAUUCCGGGAGUAGUGGCGAGCGAAAACCGGAUGAGGCCAAAACCGUAUGCGUGUGAUACCCGGCAGGGGUUGCGCAUGCGGGGUUGUGGGAUCUCUCUUUCACAGUCUGCCGGCUGUGAGACGAGUCAGAAACCGUAUGGAUAGGCGAAGGACAUGCGAAAAGGUCCGGCGUAGAGGGUAAGACCCCCGUAGCUGAAAUUCAUGCGGCUCGUUUGAGAGACACCCAAGUAGCAC